AAUAAACGCUGGCGGCGUGCUUAACACAUGCAAGUCGAACGAGAAAGUUUUAGCUUGCUAAAACGAGUAAAGUGGCGCACGGGUGAGUAACGCGUGGGUAAUUUCCCCUUGAAUUUGGAAUAACGUUGCGAAAGCGACGCUAAUACUGAAUGACAUAUUUUUUUCUGCGGAAAGAGAUAUCAAAGAGAGCCUCUACAUGUAAGCUUUCGUUUGAGGAUAAGCCCGCGUACCAUUAGCUUGUUGGUAGGGUAAUGGCCUACCAAGGCUACGAUGGUUAGCUGGUCUGAGAGGAUGAUCAGCCACACUGGAACUGACACACGGUCCAGACUCCUACGGGAGGCAGCAGUGAGGAAUUUUGCGCAAUGGGCGAAAGCCUGACGCAGCAACGCCGCGUGAGUGAUGAAGGCCUUAGGGUCGUAAAGCUCUGUC
rnacentral:rRNA from 1 species